rnacentral:misc_RNA from 1 species
CAUGGGCCCGCUUCCUUCGAAAGUACAUCGCUGACUUUUUCUUCCAUGUCCGGAUUCUGGAGCUUUCGGGAAUGCGACUCCGGCUCUGCAGCCGCAGCGAAUUCGGCGAGUGGACUACAGCAGCUUGAUCUCGCUGUUACCCAGGUACUUCCUGUCGGCGUGGAGUUCAAAAGGGCGACGCUAUCAACUGCACAGGAGGGCUCACACACACGUUUUGGAAGGAAAGUGGCCCCGCAUGUCGAAGCAGUUGAGUGGACUGGAGGGACGGAUUGCGGUCCCGCGAAAAAGCUGGCCCGGCAAGCUGAUCUUUCCUCAAGUCAGAGUAUUUCAGUAGAGGCUUACGAUGUCGCUGUAGACGAAGGUGGGAUCAAUGCGUACCUGCUGGACCGUGAAGAGGUCGUGGACGCUGUCCAACGCAGUUGGUGGGAGGCUCUAGAUGCAGACGUACGACCGGGUUUAUCGCUUCCCUCUGCAUCCAUAGCUCCUGCCAAGGUUGACACGCCAGACGCGGAAACGCUGGAACUCGUGCGGGAGUUUCUCUAUCAUGCCUCCGACAAUGUCCCCGAAAGAGAAACUGCCCGAUCGUGCGACAACGCCUUCCUGAGCUAUGAAGUGCGCCUGAGUGAAAGGAAGGAGCAGCGGACCUACCUUGACCGCUCACCAGCGUCAGAGGUGCAGAUGAAAUCACGUAAAAACGCCAAGCACGCCGACUCACGCAGCUUCCGCUCAACGGUGCCGCGCGGACCCUCACUCCAUACUGAGCGACUUGCGCGUCUUCGUGGGCGAAGGGCCUCUACCGCAGCGUUGCAGCUUUCGGAGGGAGAAAUGAGCAAGAGUAAGGCCGGCAGCUGCUAUAACCAAGAUCACGGCGGAAUCGCAAAGGACACCACCGUGGUAUCUCACGUGUCUUCGAGGCCCGAGGGCCAGUGCAGCUGUGAACUCGAAACGAACUCCGGCGCAUGUACGGUUGCUCCUCUUGAGACGCAGAGUGAGGUGUUCUCACCGUCUGCGGCCCUACAGGAUGUCUUGCGCACGCAUACGAGGAGAGUUAACCUUUCCUCGACCGCAGCUACGCGUAUGGAGGUCAUUCGACGUAGAGAGGAGCUUCUGCUCCUUCGACGCUACUUUGCAUUGUGGUUGGCUGCCGCGGAGCAGAGACACAUUAAGCAAUGCGCCGCUUCGUACCACUGCUUCCUGAUGUGGUGCAUCAACGACACCAUAGAACACACGACAUCGCAGGUAAAGGAGGAGGAGAGCAUAUGUGCAUAUAGACACUGCGCCUCUGACUUUAGAUUGGCCAAGAGGCAGGGGAAACGUGCGUGACAGGGCUUCCGUAUAGAUUCACAUAACCUUACAUGGACCGCCAAACAAGCAACUACUGGUGCGAUUUUUCUUUUGGCGCCAGCGCUUCAUGGGCGUAGAACAUGGAGGCGCACGGCCCUAAUCCACACGGGAAAGGAAAACAACGGAAUAAAGAGCAGCGGCUGCAUAGAGAUAGGAAGAGGAAGCAGACACCCACACAAGCAGCGAAACACUCUUCUUCGGCUUGAUCACGCGGAUAAGUGGGGCAUGUUUGAGACCUGAAACUCAUGCCGUACAAGCGAGGGCCUAGCGGUGCUAUCUGUACAGUCAGAGCAGCCGUCUUGCCAAGGAGUCGCGGGACGGUGGUGUCUCAGCCUCUUUUCCCCACCUGUUCACCGUGCCAUCAAGCAAGGACAGCUGGAAACUCACUCACACUUGUUCUAUGUCACCCUUCAAACUCUUUUGUGCGUCCUUACGACUCGCUCCCUCCCCUGGCCAUCAUGGACCGCUUUCAUUUCUUGUCACUGCAUUGCCUUGUGUGUGCAG